rnacentral:tRNA from 1 species
GGGGGCAAGACUGUUGCUGAGUGGAAUAGCCUCUGCUUGGCAUGCAGAAAGUCCCGGGUUCAAUCCCUGUCAUCUCCA